rnacentral:lncRNA from 1 species
CUUUUAUGUGCCCUUGGAUGUUUAUGCAUAAAGACAAUGUAACAAGAACUGGGAAACCAUCUGGUAACGCUGGUCACUGUUGCCUCAGCUGCAAAGUGAUUUUCACGGCCUGAAUUGACAAAUGUACUUUUCCUGUGUCUAUUGAGAAGAAACUCUCUGGAGGACAAAUUAUUAACCAUCUGUGAAAACUAAUCCUGCGGCAAACACGGAUCAGCAGUUCUUCAAUUUGAUGUUAUAAAGCGUUGAAAUACUUGGAAUCCUACAUCCAAUCGUGUUCGCUCGCUAUUAUUUGUUGCUCACAGAAAGCGCUCAAUACUCCAGAAUACGUGCUUGUGAGUUUUGGCAUCUGUCAUCAGAAAGAAGUUUUAGUGACUUCGUUAGGGCUCUCAAGAGAUUAAAAAGAAACCAAGUCCACCACGUCAGCAGAUUUCCAAAAGAUAGCACAGGGAAACUCUUAAGGAGUGUGGAGCACCACUCAGAGUUGUUCCUGAAAUUCCU